rnacentral:rRNA from 1 species
GGUAACGGCUUACCAAGGCAACGAUGCAUAGCCGACCUGAGAGGGUGAUCGGCCACACUGGAACUGAGACACGGUCCAGACUCCUACGGGAGGCAGCAGUAGGGAAUCUUCCGCAAUGGGCGAAAGCCUGACGGAGCAACGCCGCGUGAGUGAUGAAGGUCUUCGGAUCGUAAAACUCUGUUAUUAGGGAAGAACAUAUGUGUANCUGUCACUUAUAGAUGGAUCCGCGCUGCAUUAGCUAGUUGGUAAGGUAACGGCUUACCAAGGCAACGAUGCAUAGCCGACCUGAGAGGGUGAUCGGCCACACUGGAACUGAGACACGGUCCAGACUCCUACGGGAGGCAGCAGUAGGGAAUCUUCCGCAAUGGGCGAAAGCCUGACGGAGCAACGCCGCGUGAGUGAUGAAGGUCUUCGGAUCGUAAAACUCUGUUAUUAGGGAAGAACAUAUGUGUAAGUAACUGUGCACAUCUUGACGGUACCUAAUCAGAAAGCCACGGCUAACUACGUGCCAGCAGCCGCGGUAAUACGUAGGUGGCAAGCGUUAUCCGGAAUUAUUGGGCGUAAAGCGCGCGUAGGCGGUUUUUUAAGUCUGAUGUGAAAGCCCACGGCUCAACCGUGGAGGGUCAUUGGAAACUGGAAAACUUGAGUGCAGAAGAGGAAAGUGGAAUUCCAUGUGUAGCGGUGAAAUGCGCAGAGAUAUGGAGGAACACCAGUGGCGAAGGCGACUUUCUGGUCUGUAACUGACGCUGAUGUGCGAAAGCGUGGGGAUCAAACAGGAUUAGAUACCCUGGUAGUCCACGCCGUAAACGAUGAGUGCUAAGUGUUAGGGGGUUUCCGCCCCUUAGUGCUGCAGCUAACGCAUUAAGCACUCCGCCUGGGGAGUACGACCGCAAGGUUGAAACUCAAAGGAAUUGACGGGGACCCGCACAAGCGGUGGAGCAUGUGGUUUAAUUCGAAGCAACGCGAAGAACCUUACCAAAUCUUGACAUCCUUUGACAACUCUAGAGAUAGAGCUUUCCCCUUCGGGGGACAAAGUGACAGGUGGUGCAUGGUUGUCGUCAGCUCGUGUCGUGAGAUGUUGGGUUAAGUCCCGCAACGAGCGCAACCCUUAAGCUUAGUUGCCAUCAUUAAGUUGGGCACUCUAAGUUGACUGCCGGUGACAAACCGGAGGAAGGUGGGGAUGACGUCAAAUCAUCAUGCCCCUUAUGAUUUGGGCUACACACGUGCUACAAUGGACAAUACAAAGGGCAGCGAAACCGCGAGGUCAAGCAAAUCCCAUAAAGUUGUUCUCAGUUCGGAUUGUAGUCUGCAACUCGACUACAUGAAGCUGGAAUCGCUAGUAAUCGUAGAUCAGCAUGCUACGGUGAAUACGUUCCCGGGUCUUGUACACACCGCCCGUCACACCACGAGAGUUUGUAACACCCGAAGCCGGUGGAGUAACCUUUUAGGAGCUAGCCGUCGAAGGUGGGACAAAUGAUUGGGGUGAAGUCGUAACAAGGUAGCCGUAUCGGAAGGUGCGGCUG